rnacentral:misc_RNA from 1 species
UCAAGGAAGGAAGUCCUGCUGGUCGUCAUGUUGUUAUUGUAGAUGAUUUGGUACAAUCUGGAGGAACCUUGAUUGAGUGCCAGAAAGUUUUAGCAGCUCACGGUGCGGCCAAGGUUAGUGCGUAUGUUACUCAUGGUGUUUUCCCAAAGCAGUCAUGGAAGCGAUUCCUUCACAAGAAUGGUUUGGAGACGGCGUUUUCCUACUUCUGGAUCACAGAUUCCUGCCCUCAUACAGUCAAAGCCAUAACAG